rnacentral:lncRNA from 1 species
UGCACUCGCAUAGGACGGAGCUUGCAGACGCAGUAAAGUUUCGGCUGCUUCGUCCUCCUUGUUCGGCACCGGAAAAUGACCCAACCCACCUAGGAGGCCCGCCCAGCCGCCUAGCGCCCGCCUAGCCGCCUAGCGCCCGCCUAGCCGCCUAGCGCCCGCCUAGCCCCAUUGUUUGAACACUGCGAUUGACUGAAAGUCUGCAACCCGAAAUUGAAAAUGUUUACCUGCAAAUUUGAGCUUGAGAUUGAGAUUUGGAAGCCGAAGCAAGCACAAGUCAUGGGAACC